rnacentral:rRNA from 1 species
UACGUAGGGUGCGAGCGUUGUCCGGAAUUAUUGGGCGUAAAGAGCUUGUAGGCGGUCUGUCGCGUCUGCUGUGAAAAUCCGGGGCUCAACCCCGGACUUGCAGUGGGUACGGGCAGACUAGAGUGUGGUAGGGGAGACUGGAAUUCCUGGUGUAGCGGUGAAAUGCGCAGAUAUCAGGAGGAACACCGAUGGCGAAGGCAGGUCUCUGGGCCACUACUGACGCUGAGGCGCGAAAGCUAGGGGAGCGAACAGG